rnacentral:rRNA from 1 species
CCUACGGGUGGCAGCAGUGAGGAAUAUUGGUCAAUGGACGCAAGUCUGAACCAGCCAUGCCGCGUGCAGGAAGACGGCUCUAUGAGUUGUAAACUGCUUUUGUACGAGGGUAAACGCAGAUACGCGUAUCUGUCUGAAAGUAUCGUACGAAUAAGGAUCGGCUAACUCCGUGCCAGCAGCCGCGGUAAUACGGAGGAUUCAAGCGUUAUCCGGAUUUAUUGGGUUUAAGGGGUGCGUAGGCGGUCGGAUAAGUUAGAGGUGAAAUCCCGAGGCUCAACUUCGGAAUUGCCUCUGAUACUGUUCGGCUAGAGAGUAGUUGCGGUAGGCGGAAUGUAUGGUGUAGCGGUGAAAUGCUUAGAGAUCAUACAGAACACCGAUUGCGAAGGCAGCUUACCAAGCUACUUCUGACGUUGAGGCACGAAAGCGUGGGGAGCGAACAGGAUUAGAUACCCGAGUAGUC